UAAAACAUUUGAACAUACCUAACCAAGCCAAACAAUUCACCACAAAAGACUCAAAUUCACAAAAAUAAUGUUUCAUGGAAAAAAGUGCAAGAGACAUCUCUGGUGCUGCAAUGGCCCUCAGUCUUUUUAAUAUCAUAAAAUUUUCCCACAUGAAGAUGUUCAACUGGGUGAUGUCCACCAUAACUCCCAUAAUAUCCUCAGGAAGAGUGUUGUGCAAUUUGGUAUACUACUUAUGUAGAACUUGUUUAGCAUAACAUGCUUAGCUUUAGUAGCUAAAUUUGCUGCAGUCUUAGGCUCUUAACUAGGUAAAAGUUCAGCAUAUCUGGAUGGAAGUUAACAGCUUUAGUUAAGCUUUAAUUAAAUCAAAAAAAGCCCCAGAGCCAGUUCAAGUUGGAAGAUAAGGAAUCAAGAAAGGUUGAUGCAACCAUCAGCUGAUGCUACAGCUUUGGAGCAGGUUGGCGACUCACCUUCUUCAAGAGGAGCCUGGAACUGAGUCCUGUUGAUGGUGGCAUAAUUUGUGGAACGUGGUGGAAUUUCCUCAGCAAACAGACCAGGGCAGUGGACAGUGCAGUGAAUUGAAAACUGACAACUGAGCUCGAAGUGUUUUGGUCAGGGGCACAAAGCCCACCUGGAGGCAGACACAAGUCGUGUACCUCGGGGGUUGAUACUGGAUCCAUACUCUUCAACAGCUGGAUGAUGGGGCAGGAUGAUCCUCCACAAGUUUGCGGAUGUUACAAAGCUGGGAGGAGCGACUGAUACACCAAGUGAUUGUACUUAUGUCCAGAGGGACCUUAGGCUGGAGAAAUGGGCUGACAAGAUUCUGAUGAAGUUUAACAAAGGGAAUUACAAAGUCCUACACCUGAGGGAGAAUGGUCCCAUGCACCAGUUCAGCCUGUGGGCUGGUCAAAUGAACAGAAGCUUUGCAGGAAAGGACUUGGGGAUCAUGCUUUGACAAGACGAACAUGAGUCAGCAACGUGCACUUGCAGCAACAGAUGACAAUGAUGCCCUGGGUUGCAGGAGGAGGAGUGUUGCCAGCAGGUCCAGGGAGGUGAGAACCAGACUCUCUUCUGGGCUGUCCAGUGGUGGGCAAGAGGCAAUGAACACAAAUUGCAAUAUAAAGAAAAAAAAUAAAACCACUUAAACAUA